rnacentral:rRNA from 1 species
CAGUAGCCGCGGUAAUACGUAGGGUGCAAGCGUUAUCCGGAAUCAUUGGGCGUAAAGAGCUCGUAGGCGGUUUGUCGCGUCUGCUGUGAAAACUGGAGGCUCAACCUCCAGCCUGCAGUGGGUACGGGCAGACUAGAGUGCGGUAGGGGAGAUUGGAAUUCCUGGUGUAGCGGUGGAAUGCGCAGAUAUCAGGAGGAACACCGAUGGCGAAGGCAGAUCUCUGGGCCGUAACUGACGCUGAGGAGCGAAAGCGUGGGGAGCGAACAGGAUUAGAUACCCGCGUAGUCCCUGUCUCUUAUAA